rnacentral:rRNA from 1 species
CCUACGGGUGGCUGCAGUGAGGAAUAUUGGUCAAUGGGCGCGAGCCUGAACCAGCCAAGUAGCGUGAAGGAUGACUGCCCUACGGGUUGUAAACUUCUUUUAUAAAGGAAUCAAGUGAGGCACGUGUGCCCUUUUGCCUGUACCUUAUGAAUAAGGAUCGGCUAACUCCGUGCCAGCAGCCGCGGUAAUACGGAGGAUCCGAGCGUUAUCCGGAUUUAUUGGGUUUAAAGGGUGCGUAGAUGGGUUGUUAAGUCAGUUGUGAAAGUUUGCGGCUCAACCGUAAAAUUGCAGUUGAUACUGGCAGCCUUGAGUACAGUUGAGGUAGGCGGAAUUCGUGGUGUAGCGGUGAAAUGCUUAGAUAUCACGAAGAACUCCGAUUGCGAAGGCAGCUUACUAAACUGCAACUGACAUUGAUGCUCGAAAGUGUGGGUAUCAAACAGGAUUAGAUACCCUUGUAGUC